rnacentral:rRNA from 1 species
UACGUAGGGGGCAAGCGUUGUCCGGAAUCAUUGGGCGUAAAGAGCGCGUAGGCGGUCCGGUAAGUCGGCUGUGAAAGCCCAGGGCUCAACCCUGGGAUGCCGGUCGAUACUGCCGGACUAGAGUUCGGAAGAGGCGAGUGGAAUUCCCGGUGUAGCGGUGAAAUGCGCAGAUAUCGGGAGGAACACCUAUGGCGAAGGCAGCUCGCUGGGACGUUACUGACGCUGAGACGCGAAAGCGUGGGGAGCAAACAGG